ensembl:lncRNA
UAGGUUUUGUUUUUUGUCUUUGUUCUUGUUCUGGAAAGUUCACAGACCCCAGCAAACAUGAGCCUGUAGCUUACCUAUAGGGGAGCCUGAGUAGGAAUCGCACAGGAUUACAAAGUUAAGAGGAUGAAGGUGACUAGAACAGGGCCGAGCCUCUUGCUGAUAAAGGGAGAGAAUGGGCUGAAGUGAGAACUGCUGCUCAGCAGGAACGGUGUCAGAAAUGAGAGUAAAGCCAGGGCCAAGAGAAACUUCUUGAGAGGAUUUAGAUCAAUCUGUGUUUCCAAACAGAAAGGAAACAGGGAAUAAUCAGCUGUCACAGCCAUGCUGCAAAAUGGGGCACCGUAAAAUGUGCUAAAUAGACCUUGGGGCAUUGUGAUAAAUAUGAUAAGCCUCCAGCUCUCCCCAAAGUUAAAGCAGAAAAACCUCUGUUUUCCUUUCUUGGGGUGCACUGGAAGCAGGCAUGGGCAUGGCAGAGAUCUGCUCUGAGAACAGGGAGUUCUGUGUGAAGUACAGAAGAAGAAUAUAGUCUUUAAUACCACUUAAUGCCCAAUUACAGCCUAACACAAUUUAAAUUCUAACUGAGCUACUGGUGAAUAAGGCAUGAAGAGCCUAUACUCCGGAGGGAAGAGAAGGACACAUACAGAGAGCAGUAUCCAUACUACUUACAAGCAACCGGCCCCACUGUAUAACAGACAUCCUAAAAUAGAUACUGAAGUACAACUUUAAAAAAAAUCUGCUUACGUGUAGUUUUGUACAUGAAAAUAACCGGGCAGCAGAACUACUUUAGCCUUGCUGCUACUGGUGCAGAAGGCUCCUUUUGGGCUAACACCCACGUAACCCCGAGAUGAGGGAUCUCCGUCGCCCUGCUGCUUUGCUCUCCAGGAGCUGCAGUGACAGUGAGGUCCAACCCGCUGCUCGGUGGCCCCUCGGCACACCCUGCGGCGCUCCGGGGGAGCUGAAACGUCUAAACGUAACGCCUGUUGUUCCGACCGGCGCUCCCGUGAACUUCCCAG